rnacentral:rRNA from 1 species
AGCUAGUUGGUGAGGUAACGGCUCACCAAGGCCACGAUGCAUAGCCGACCUGAGAGGGUGAUCGGCCACAYUGGGACUGAGACACGGCCCARACUCCUACGGGAGGCAGCAGUAGGGAAUCUUCGGCAAUGGACGAAAGUCUGACCGAGCAACGCCGCGUGAGUGAAGAAGGUUUUCGGAUCGUAAAACUCUGUUGUUAGAGAAGAACAAGGAYGWKAGUAACUGWWCRUCCCYUGACGGUAUCUAACCAGAAAGCCACGGCUAACUACGUGCCAGCAGCCGCGGUAAUACGUAGGUGGCAAGCGUUGUCCGGAUUUAUUGGGCGUAAAGCGAGCGCAGGCGGUUUCUUAAGUCUGAUGUGAAAGCCCCCGGCUCAACCGGGGAGGGUCAUUGGAAACUGGGAGACUUGAGUGCAGAAGAGGAGAGUGGAAUUCCAUGUGUAGCGGUGAAAUGCGUAGAUAUAUGGAGGA